rnacentral:rRNA from 1 species
CGGGGGGGAGCAAGCGUUGUUCGGAUUUACUGGGCGUAAAGGGCGCGUAGGCGGCCACCGCAAGUCGACUGUGAAAUCUCCGGGCUUAACCCGGAACGGUCAGCCGAUACUGCGGGGCUAGAGUGCAGAAGGGGGCAACUGGAAUUCUCGGUGUAGCGGUGAAAUGCGUAGAUAUCGAGAGGAACACCUGCGGCGAAGGCGGGUUGCUGGGCUGACACUGACGCUGAGGCGCGAAAGCUAGGGGAGCGAACGGGAUUAGAUACCCCGGUAGUCCUAGCCUUAAACGAUGAAUGCUUGGUGUCUGGGGUUUUAUAGUCCCCGGGUGCCGUCGCUAACGCUUUAAGCAUUCCGCCUGGGGAGUACGGUCGCAAAACUG